AUCCUGCCUGGGUCCUCUGCCCUCCUGUCUGUGCUGGAAGUCAGUGCUCCAUCCUCUGAGCCCUCUGUUAUGAUUAUGCCUGGAUGGUCAUUGGGCCCCUGUUUUGGUCUUGAAAUCAACAGUGGAAGCAAAGAUGUCCUGGGAGAGGGGAAUUCGUGCCCUUAGAAUAGCUGCAUGGAUGAAACAGAGGAUGAAAAAGCUUGAACACAAAUGUCUUGAUAAUAAACACAAAUGUGUUUAUUGCCAUGUAUUAAAGUAAUGGUGCUGGUCAACCUGAGAAGGAGAUGCUUCCUUAUGGUCUGAUGCGGGCAGUUAGGCCCAAUGUAAGAUUUCUCUACCUGUGAACGAGGACGUAAACGAGGCUGGACGUUGAUUAUGGUUAUUUUCACCACAUUUCUCCCCUGCUCUGAAACUCCAUUUCAUUUUGAUCUGAAACAUUUUUCUUUUCCUUUUGCCGACUGACCUGGAAAAUCCACUGUUCAACUGAAUCUAAGCUACCCCAAAUACAGAGCUUCUGUCCAGAGAAGUAAUUUGUUUUUUUGCCAUCAGUCCAUUUGUUA